UACAGAGGUCUCAAGCGUUGUUCGGAUUCAUUGGGCGUAAAGGGUGCGUAGGCGGUCGGGUAAGUCUGACGUGAAAUCUCCAAGCCUAACUUGGAAACUGCGUUGGAUACUAUCCGGCUUGAGGAAUGGAGGGGAGACUGGAAUACUUGGUGUAGCAGUGAAAUGCGUAGAUAUCAAGUGGAACACCAGUGGCGAAGGCGAGUCUCUGGACAUUUCCUGACGCUGAGGCACGAAAGCCAGGGGAGCAAACGGG
rnacentral:rRNA from 1 species